AGGAAACAUAGAUUUAAUUACUCUGCAGAUUUCUUUGUGCUGUGUCGUGAGCAAUCCUUUUCCUCCGGUUCUGGCAAUGGGUCCAGAAUGGAAAAUCAGUUCUGUUUGGAAAACCAACAUUUCCGUUGAAAUGAAAGGAGCCAAAUCACACCAAGCACGUUUUAACAGAUGCACUUACAAAAUUUCAGUUCUGCACAAACAGGUCAGAACUGGUCAUCAAAGAUUACAAAUGGAUCCUGGUACCAAAAAGGGUCGACAGCUACUGCUAUAGAAGAGAGCAACGGUGUUGAAAACAUGGAACACAUAAAUAAAGUUGUGGACACAGCCCAGCGCAUCGCGGACACCAGCCUCCCCUCCUUGGACUCUGUCUUUACCUCUCGUUGUCUUGGUGAAGCAGCCAGCAUAAUCAAAGACCCCACACACCCGGGACAUUCUCUCUUCUCUCCUCUUCCAUCGGGUAGAAGAUACAGGAGCCUGAGGGCACGUACCACCAUACUUAAGGACAGCUUCUACCCCACUGUGAUAAGACUAUUCAAUGGUUCCCUUAUA